UGCCCCAUGGCUGAGUUGGUUACAGCGUCCGACUGUUAGGUAAUACAACCUGCGGGUUGAUUACUGCGAUCGGAAGGUCGUGAGUUCGAGCCUCACUGGGGCAG